UUAUUGUCGCUUUAAUGAGUGUGAAAUCUACAGUUACGGUCGCUUUAAUGAGUAUGAAACUUGCAGUUAUUGUCGCUUUAAUGAGUUUGAAAUCUACAGUUACGGUCGCUUUAAUGAGUGUGAAAUCUUUAGUUACGGUCGCUUUAAUGAGUAUGACACUUACAGUUAUUGUCGCUUUAAUGAGUGUGAAAUCUACAGUAACGGUCGCUUUAAUGAGUGUGAAAUCUUAAGUUACGGUCGCUUUAAUGAGUGUGAAAUUUGCAGUUAUUGUCGCUUUAAAUUAUCAGGAAGCUUGUGAGUGAAUGUGUGAACGUUUUUAUUAAUGAUAUUGAUUUCGACCAUUUUUAUAUUUUGACAGCAUUUUGACACACAUAAGUUUUAAAUUAAAAGUUUUAAUUCUUAUUAUUAACAUACGUGGUCCGUUGGUAUUUUCAGAUGUUUUGAAUAUCAUGUUUCUUAUUUUCGUCGCUUUCCAUUUGAUUUUAAACACGACGAAGAUUGUUAUGUACAUUGUAUCUAUCUCCCAAUGUAACGUUUUCACUUUGUGAGUACUUCUUGUGUUAUUAGCUUUACACUUGAAAUCCAUUAUUGUUGAUCAUUUGUUUACGUUAUAUUAAUAUAUAUUAUUACCUGGUUACGUUUUACAUGGUUUUUGUGGAUUUUUGAUUUUUAAGUCUGAAAGUAUUUUACUAAGACAAUCCUUAAUAUAAUGACUUUCGUAAAAACAAUACUGAAAAAUAUAAAUUAUUAAUUUUGUUGUUUAUUUUCAAUACACAGCGACGUAUAAAAAGGAAAAUGAAACUUAGCGGAAAAUGAUGAUUUAUUAAGAACCUUGUUUCGGCUUCGAGGAAUUUCUUCAGGUGGUUUUGAAUACACAACUAGGAAAUUAUUUAUUCCCGAACAUUAAAACGUUUCGUAACCUAGGAGAAUUCUAGAUAAAAACAGCAUUUUCUGACCGUAUGUAUUUAUUGGGUACGUUAUUUCACAUUAGAUAAUAUCGGAGUGAUUGACUUUCUGUUUAUGGUUGUGCGUUAGUAAACGUCAAAUAACAGAUACGGCUGUGUGUUGAUAAAUGUUAAAUUGAUUUAUAUUGAGAUCAAAUUUCCAUAUGUGCUUUAAUGAAGAUCAAAGUGUUUGUUAUUAAGGUAUAUUUUCCAUAUGUGUCAGCAAAGGUCAAAUUCCAUAUAUGGUUGUGUGUCAGUAAAGGUCAAAUUCCAUAUAUGGCUGUGUGUUAGUAAAGGUAAAAUAUCCAUACAUUUUGUAUAUGGUUGUGCGUUGAUAAAUAUCAAAUAUCCAUAUAUUUUUGCGUGUUGGUAAAGGUCAAAUUCCAUAUAUGAUUGUGUUGGUAAAUGUCAAAUUCCAUAUAUGGCUGUGUGUCAGUAAAGGUCAAAUUCCAUAUAUGGCUGUGUGUCAGUAAAGGUCAAAUUCCAUAUAUGAAUGUGUGUUGGUAAAUGUCAAAUAUCCUUAUGACUGUUUCCCAAAAUGGGAACGAAAUGAAGCGAAACGCGUUAUUUAUGAAAAUACGAAAUUGGUGAAUAAAUUAUUGCCCCGUGUUUAUACUGUAUUGGAAGGCUGUAGUUUACUUCGAAUUGUUGUAGUUGUGAAUUGAAAUUGUCCUUCAGUGAUGUCAUACAUGUUAUGGCCUGUUCAGCAUUUUUUAAAGAUUUGUAAUACACAAUUUUCUGAAAAUGAAAA